rnacentral:rRNA from 1 species
GCGUAAAGCGUACGCAGGCGGUUUGUUAAGCGAGAUGUGAAAGCCCCGGGCUUAACCUGGGAACUGCAUUUCGAACUGGCAAACUAGAGUGUGAUAGAGGGUGGUAGAAUUUCAGGUGUAGCGGUGAAAUGCGUAGAGAUCUGAAGGAAUACCGAUGGCGAAGGCAGCCACCUGGGUCAACACUGACGCUCAUGUACGAAA